UGUUUUACAGGGCGGCUACAGUCACUUUGACAGACUGAAUAUGUAAAUAGAGAUAUUUUAGCAUUCAUCUCAUGACAGCGCUACCUCCUUCUCAGCAGGUGUAUCACUCAAGAUAUUUCCUGGGUAUUUUUCUGCCUGAAGUUAUGCUGUGCCACCUGUUACCCGAUUCUUCAAUUGCACCAGCUUUUUCUUCCAUGACACUUGUUGGCAUUCUGCUAAGGACACUUAGGUCAGUUCCUAAAACAGUCAACAAGAAAGUCAGAACAGAACUGAAACUGGCAGCAGAAAAUCAUGAGCAGAGGUUUGGAUUCACCAAAGUAUUUAACAGACUUACUCCCAAGAUCUUCCACUUAAACACUUUGAGAAAACUCAGCCUGAGGAACGAGGUUAUUUUGAUGGAUCAAAACCACACGGCAGUUCAAUGGAUUGUUACAUUGGCAUCAUUGGUGGAGUGACUCAUGGAGGUAAUGGUGAGAAAAGGGACAAGUGGACAGGAGAAGGAAAUGCAACAACUCCUAUUGGUAACAUAAUCGCUGAAUUUCCACUGUGAACAUCAGGCUUACGGAAGAACAAGCUGCUGAGUCCAUCCAGGAAAAAACAAACAAAACAAACAAACCAAACAACAAAAAAACCGUACUUCUGCUUAAAUGGUUUGCUGUGCUGUCACAAGUUCUGGGAUCCAUCCAGUGCAGAAUAGACAGAGCACAAUAAGGCUGAAUAUUUGAGUAUUUCUAUUCCUAAAUAAAUUCAAUACAAUCCUGGCA
rnacentral:lncRNA from 1 species